GAUGAACGCUGACAGAAUGCUUAACACAUGCAAGUCAACUUGAAUUUGGGUUUUUAACUUAGGUUUGGGUGGCGGACGGGUGAGUAACGCGUAAAGAACUUGCCUCACAGCUAGGGACAACAUUUGGAAACGAAUGCUAAUACCUAAUAUUAUGAUAAUAGGGCAUCCUAUAAUUAUGAAAGCUAUAAGCGCUGUGAGAGAGCUUUGCGUCCCAUUAGCUAGUUGGAGAGGUAACGGCUCACCAAGGCGAUGAUGGGUAGCCGGCCUGGGAGGGUGAUCGGCCACAAGGGGACUGAGACACGGCCCUUACUCCUACGGGAGGCAGCAGUGGGGAAUAUUGGACAAUGGACCGAGAGUCUGAUCCAGCAAUUCUGUGUGCACGAUGAAGUUUUUCGGAAUGUAAAGUGCUUUCAGUUGGGAAGAAACAAAUGACGGUACCAACAGAAGAAGUGACGGCUAAAUACGUG
rnacentral:rRNA from 1 species